ACCCACAGCCUUGUUAUGUGCCCUGACGGGGAAUGGAACCCGUGACCCUUCGGUGCAGGGGACACGCUCUAACCCACAGAGGACACCGGCCGGGGCUCUGGGAGCCACUUUACAGAUGAGGAAAAUGAGGCUCAAGGAGGCUACGGGAGAAAAGCCCAAGCAGAACUGCGUCAGGCUCUCUGGGGGGUAAACCGCUGCUCACUGGUGACUGCGCCUGGACUAGGGGAGGUCAGAAUGGGGAACCGACUUCUCCGGAAGGAGGGAGGGUCACACAAUUGAGAAGAGAUGAGGCCUGGAUGGAGCCCUGGUCGCCUGACUCCAGAACCCACGUUCUGAAAUCCUCUGCACUUUCUGCUGCAGGUGCAGCCUGAUGUGGAAACAAGGCUCAGAAGGCUACCCACAUAAUGAUUGUGAGAAAUGCAGUGAGAACCCACUUAGGUCUUGAGUCUACUGUCUCAACAAGUACCUACUAAACAUUCAACUAUAUGUCAGAGUCUGCGCCAUGCCCAGGAGAUGUAACAGUGAGCAAGAGAGAGUCCUCCUACCUUUAUGAGCACUAAUUCCAGGAGGGGCGGACAGACAAGACAGGAAAUGUUGGCAGAAUGAGGUGACAAGAGCUAAUUUGGCCGGGCAGAGGACAAAGGUCUGCUCUGGGCUGUCUCAGCCCUGGCACUUUGGGGGACCCAGCAGAGCAAAGAUGAGGAAACGGAAGCUCAGAGAAGGACUUGACUUGUCUAAGGUCUAAAAUCACACAGCAAGGAAUUGGCGGAGCUGGGAUCAGAACCCAGGCACCCUUGACUCCAGAGUUGUUUAACCAGAACCACACACCUGACCCCGCCAGCUGCCCACAGGGCAGGAACCAGAACCAAAACCAGAACCAGGUCUUACGCUCACCCCAGCACAGAGCUGAGCCCUUCAAUAACUCCUAUGGAUUGCCAGAUCCCUUCUCUGAGAGACAUGUCUGCCCAGACAGAAUGGAAAAUCCCUGGCUGAAGGAAGGGCCGUGGAAAUUUCUUCUUAACGUUCCCUUUCCAGACUUGGACUCACCCCAGAAAGCAGUCAAGCAUUUGCCCAGUGACCUGCAAGGCAGCGCUGUUCUUCCUCCUCCACCCCCACCCCAGGCGGGAACCCAGGGAGCAGUGAUGAGUGGGCGCGGCUGGGGAGAAGCCAUAGUGGCAGCGGAUGACUGCUCUGCUCUGCCUCGGAGAACCACUCUUGAUGUCCUUUAGUCCCACACCUUCAGUUUAAAGAUGAAGAAACACGGCUCAGUGGCAAAAUCAGACUAGACUGAGGGUGUUUCCACUCCCACUCCAACCCCCUUACAUUGCUCCAUGUACCUGUGUCCUCAUUGUAAAACGGGAAUAAUAAUAGUACCUACUUCAUUGAAUUGGUGGUAUGUCAGAUGAGUUAAAGAUGUAGAGUAUUUUGUAGAUAUGAGCUCUAUAUGCUCUCGAGUCCUGAGCUUGCCCUUCCUUGUAGCCCCAUGGUGGAGCGUGCUGUUAGCAUUCUGCUGAUCUCUUGUGGGGACGGGAGGGGGCUUGAAUGAGGGCUUGAGUCAUCACCAGAGGCAGGCAAGUUCCAAUGAGGCCUGUCUUGUCUAGAGAUUGUAUCCACAGCAUGUCUGGCCCAUAUUAGUCCCACUGCUUUUUAAAAUGU